AGGGACGUACUUCUCCAGGCUCGCAAAGCGAGAAGGGGAGCAUCUGGCCGUGGGUCACCGCCUUGGCGGUCGUGCGAGAGUCUUGCCCAGAUCUCCCGAAAGGCGGAGAGCGAGCCCAAGGCCUACCAACCUUCUCCCGCCCGAAAACAGCAGAAUGGGGGACUCGGAGCCACAUGGAAGUGCGCUCUGACCAUAACCACGAGAUGGACGAGGAAGGGUUGGCCUCUUUGAGGACUCAGCAGCCACGAAGGCCUUCCCUGGUCGCAACCCUUCCUCAGGGAGACACGGAGCUUCCGAGUGUGGCCUCGGGGCGCUCCUGACCCUGCCGCGGGGCAAGGGCUCUGACUGUAACAUUCAGGUUUGAAAGUCCCUUUGGAGCCUCGAAGUAGCGGCCUCCCACCGUCUCCUGAAUCAUCACGGCACCGGGGCGGGAGUCUUUCGAUAAGCUGAGACGAACGGCCGCGCAGGAGAGUGCGGGCUUCCAGAAGCCGGCAGGGAUAACUUGAAAUAUGGGCAGGUGUUGCUGGGCCUUGAAGAUUAGAAUCAGUCCAUGAAAAGGAGAAUGUACGAAUCAGCUUAGAAUACGGAAACAAGUGAGCUUUAAAGGAAAAUAUUCACUCUCGAUACCCCUGUCCAGGAGGAAGAGUGCUGAUCUGCUUCUUCCAGGCCGCUGGACUGGAGAAUAGAAGCUGCCCGACCCCAGCCAAGCCAGUGUCUGUCCCCUCUCACUCCCCAGCACUUCUGCCUUGCUUUUCGAAAAUUUCUGCAAGACAUAGAUUUUCAUCAUAACCAGAAAAAAAGAAAACUUAAACAUGUAAAUACGGCAUAUACCAUGUGAUCUCAAUAAUAUAAACAUGCAUAGAAAAGACAGUAAGGAAAUAUGAACAACUGUUGACGGGUAUGUAAUUUUUGACAAGUUGAAUAUGGCUUAUUCUGGUUUGCACUUUUUGGUAUUUUCCACCUGACAGAGAAAAUAAAACAGUAUAAAAUAACUUAAGUCAUUUUGUUCAAUAGUCAAGAGGUUCCAAAAUGAGAUGUUGAAUUCAAAAGCCUUUAGGAACUAUGAAGAAAGGUAAUGCAUUAGUGUUGUUAUGAAGAUAAGUUUCCCAAUGUUACUGCAGAUUAGAUCGCUUUUGAGUGCAUUAUCAGUCCUUCUGUACAUGAAUCUGUUGCUCUAUGGCAAAGGCAACUUGAAGAUAAGCUGGUAAAGAUUCCAGAACUACAAGUAAAAACUAGGCCCUGGAGUAGCAAUAAAAAUUCCAAACCCCGAGGCCCAUCCAGCCUGUCCACAACAUUCCUGUAUUGAUGACAGCAAAAUAGACACUCAUGAGAGGCAUGACUUUUGUUUUUUCCAUACCUAAGUGAAGAAAAGAGAUUACCAUACUGGUCUCUCUGGAGGUUAAAUAGUAAGACUUGAUGAAUUAGUUAAUAAAGCUAGAUAGCCCACAGAUUAUGUGGAGAUAUGCUUUGACGUUUACAUCUAAGUAGUUCAUCUGUGCUAAAAUCAAUAAAAUAGUUUUUCAAGCACAACUUAUUGGCAUUUUCCUAUUUCUAUUAAGAAAUUCAUGUAGUUUUCACGGCAAUUUUCAAAAAUGCCUAAAUAAAGUUUUUGUUAUAGUGUACUGUGGAUUUUAAUAUACUAGAAAAAUAAAAAAGACUUUCCUCUAGAGACUAA